rnacentral:misc_RNA from 1 species
ACUUCUGGAGUAUCUAAUCUGUUUGCUCCCACGCUUUCGUGCAUGAGCGUCAGUGUUGUAUCAGGAGGCUGCCUUCGCCAUCCGGUGUUCCUCCGCAUAUCUACGCAUUUCACUGCUACACGCGAAUUCACCUCCUCCUUGACACACUCUAGCUCGGUAGUUAAAAAUGCAGUUCCAAGUUAGCUCUGGGAUUUCAUCUUUCUUUCCGAACCGCCUGCGCACGCUUCCGCCCAGUAAUUCCGAUUAACGCUUUACCCUGUCACGUAUUACCGCGGCUGCUGUGGCACGUAGUUAGCCGGUGCUUAUUCUGCAGGUACCGUCAGUUGCGCACAGGGUAUUAUCCGUGCCGUUUCUUUCCUGCCAAAGGUACUUUACAACCCGAAGGCCUUCAUCGCACGCAGGAUGGCUGGAUCGAGGUUUCCCCAUUGUCCAAAAUUCCCCACUGCUGCGCCCGUA